CCGGAUGCUUAGGGCUUGUUGUUCACUUUGUUUCUAGGUGGAAAAGGAAAGAGAUUUAGAGCUUAGCAAGCAGCUCUCAGAGCAGUUCGACACACUGAACAGAGAGCAUGAAGAGAACCUCCGAGAAGUCCAGAGGGCCCAUGACCAGGAGAUGGUGCUCUUAAGGGAAUCCUACCAAAGGUCCCAGUCUUCCUUACAGGAGACAAUUGACAGGUUAAAUUCCCAGCUGAAGUCCUUCCAGGAGAAAAUGAAACAGGUGGAGGAAUCGAUCGUGAGCAGAGACUAUAAGAAACUUAUUCAGGUGCAGGAAAACAAACAAACUGUGGCCUCUUGGGAAGGUAUUUCUUUAACCCGUCAUUUGCC
rnacentral:lncRNA from 1 species